rnacentral:rRNA from 1 species
GACGAACGCUGGCGGCGUGCUUAACACAUGCAAGUCGAACGGUGAAGGGAUCAGCUUGCUGGUUCUGGAUGAGUGGCGAACGGGUGAGUAACACGUGAGUAACCUGCCCCCUUCUUCUGGAUAACCGCAUGAAAGUGUGGCUAAUACGGGAUAUUCUGCGCCUGCUGCAUGGCGGGUGUGGGAAAGAUAUUGUUUCGGUGGGGGAUGGGCUCGCGUCCUAUCAGCUUGUUGGUGGGGUGAUGGCCUACCAAGGCGGUGACGGCUGGCCGGACUGAGAGGGUGGACGGUCACACUGGGACUGAGACACGGCCCAGACUCCUACGGGAGGCAGCAGUAGGGAAGAUUGCACAAUGGGCGCAAGCCUGAGGCAGCGACGCCGCGUGAGGGGUGGAGGCCUUCGGGUUGUGAACCUCUUACGCCAGUGAAGCAGGACUGUCCCUUGUGGGUGGGUUGACGGUAGCUGGAGAAAAAGCGCCGGCUAACUACGUG